rnacentral:rRNA from 1 species
AGUCUGGCCUGCCCAAUGAUUUUUGAAUGGCCGCAGUAUUUUGACUGUGCAAAGGUAGCAUAAUCAUUAGUUUUUUAAUUGAAAGCUGGAAUGAAAGGUUUGAUGAGAAAAUAACUGUCUCUGUGUAAAUGUUUUAGAACUUCAAUUUUAAGUGAAAAAGCUUAAAUUUUUUAUAAAGACGAGAAGACCCUAUAGAGUUUUAUAUUUGAUUGGAUAUAAAAGUUGUUGAAUUGAUUCUUUUAUUUUUAAUUAAGUAUUUUGUUGGGGCGAUGGAAAAAUUUGAUUAACUUUUUUUUGUUUUUAACAUUGAUUUAUGAUUACUUGAUCCUUUUUUUUGGAUUACAAGACUAAAUUACCUUAGGGAUAACAGCGUAAUUUUUUUUGGAGAGUUCUUAUCGAUAAAAAAGUUUGCGACCUCGAUGUUGGAUUAAAAUUAAAUUUCGGUGCAGAAGCUGAAAUUUUGGGUCUGUUCGACCUUUGAAAUUUU